AAGACUAUAGUUUCAUGAACCAUCGUUAUAGUUACUAGAGAAGUUUCUCUGAUCGUGUAGAGCACCGAAAGCCAUGAGGAGGAGACACAGCAUUUUCUCCUGAGCAUGCAACUGGCUCUUGGUGUUUGCAUCGCUGCAACUGCCAUUUGCCAUUGAUGAUUGUUCUUACUCUCCUUCAGGGGAACAAGAGGGAGAGGAUGCAGUCUGAGUGGU
rnacentral:snoRNA from 1 species